AAAAUACUUCUGAAGCUUCGUCGUCACCAACGGGCCACCAUAAUCUCCGGGUGCCGUUCCAGUGGACCAUUUUUGAGGCUUCUUCUUAGGUAAGAUGAUCUUGAUGGGUUUUGGAUUUGCUGGUGAGAUGUUCGAGUCUUGAGAACUGGGUAUCGUUAUGGAGGUAAUUGAUACGUAACCGUUCACAACCGCAAUUGUUAAUUGCUUUUCUUGUGUAUUUUGGCUAAAAUCGAAAAGAAACGAGAAAAAAAAUAUAUGAAUGUUAUGUUGGUGGUCAUGGAUUUGUGUUCAAUUGAGUUUCCACACAUAUAUCAUCAGAUCAGCAAAAAGAUAUCAGAAGCGUAGUUGCCAGGGGCGAAAAAGUAAAAAGGUUAUAAAGAUAAAAUUUUGAUAUUUUUAAAUUCUGAUUCAUCAACAAAUCUAUUUGCAGAUCCAACAACAACAAAUAUAAAAGAUCUGGACAAAUAGAAACACAAAUAUAAAUCCAGCCACCCAUACGGGAAACCUACUGCAUAGCAAAGGAAAUGACGCACCAAAUCAGCCAAAUCAGAGCAUGGAUCAAAACUGAAAUUGGAACCGCAAAACCUAUAAAUCGGCCAGAUUUCGACAAAUAUAACCGGCGAAACGCAGAAUCCGACCACAUAAAACAUAACCCAAACCAGAUCUUAAGAAAAGCGAAAUAAUAAAAUAAUAAACAGAAUUUCGGUGAUGAAUGUUGGUAGCGGCGGUGGUAGUGGAAGAGAAAAUUGAAAGUGAAGACAGGUUUAUUUAAUUUGUUUAAGUAUAAUAUAUUAAUAAAUUGUUAAUAUAUCACAAUAUUUGCUUUCAAUAAUUAAUAAUUUUUUACCUAACAUAUAAACAUUUAUGUAAAUAAAAAUUUAUUUUGAAAAGAUUUUUAAUUUAAAAUUUUUUUUAAUUUUAUAAUUUCUUCAAUUAUAUUUGUUAUUAGUUAUAUAAAAAAAACAUUUGCUAUUAAUUACAAAAAUAACCAAAUAACUUUUUAUUUUUUAAUUUCUACCAUGUAUUUUUUGCUAAACUUUUUGAUUUUAUUAUAAUUUUUCCUAAAUUUAUUUUAUAUUCCCCUUAAUUUUAAUUAACAUAUUUUUAGUUUUUAUAUUUUAUAAAUGACUUAAUUAUAAAUAAAAAUUUAUUUGAUAUUAAUUACAAAAAUAAUUUAAUAUAUUUUUUAUUUAUUUUCUUGUUUUUUUAAAUUUAUAUUAUACUUUAAAAUAUUUUUUUCAUUUUCUUCAUAAAUUUUUUCCUCCAGAUCCACAUAAUCACUACCACGUCGGAUAAUCACAGCCACGUCAGCUUUUUUUUACUACUCAGCAGCUUAGUUUUCUUUUUCCGUUUAAAGUCAAAGAAUUUAACGAUUUUUUUAACUUUGUGUUAGAAAGAGUACAAUUACUUGUCUGUAAGAAAAAAAAGUUCAGUUAUUCAUUUGUAAGUUGAUCUAUAGUACAGUGACCAAAAAAGCAUUUAACCUAGUUUUGUUAUAAUAUUCUUACGACAAAUAAAUGGUAUAGUUUAAACAAGUUUGUUUCUACUGAAUUAUGUAAUCUUUUCAACAUUUCAACUUUUAAUUUUACAAUAAGAUUCAUUCUUUGUAGAAUUGGAGUGAAUUUGUCAAUGAGAACGAUAAAAUAUAUACAAUGAACCUUUGUGGAUGAGACCAACGUAAUCAGGUAAAUCUACUUUUAUGUCACUGCAUCAAAAUAACUUUACUAUUCCUAUAAUAUAAAUAGUCUUAAUUUUAUUGUUUAUGUGAAUAAUUUAGGUGGUUGUGCAUUCUCUUCAUUGGGCAAAAUGUGUGUUCGUAUUUAUACGAGGACAUUAAGAAUAAUGAUGAAGAGAAGGUUUGGAUAUGCAAUCCAGUACCAACCUGUCCAUCUUUGACGAUGACUAACCCACCACUGACCAAACAAUUGUCUAGGUGUGAAAGUCUCUUUUACUAAGACUAUAUAUUUCUCUACUUCUCAUGCAGACAUAACACACACAAUUCAUGCACAAACACACACACAUAACUGUAACCAAUCAAACUCACACACCAUUAUACUGCCACCAAUACAAAUUUAUGAUUUAAAUUAUUAAGCAAAUGAACCGUUUGUUGAAAUGAUACUAAGAAAACUUUAUUUGAUUGUAAGUCUACAUUCAUCCAUAUCUUUUCCUAAAUAAAUUAAUAAUUUGUUACAAUCUCUCUAAAUUCUUACUUAUAUCAAUCUAAAUCAUUCUCCCCCCUACAUACAAAUGUGUGUACUCAUUUGUUUUUUAGAUAAUUCAGGGUAAAGUAAUGGGUCUUAUGUUUCGAAUUUACAAUUGUUUUAUUUUGACUCACAUAUUUCGAUAAUUUUUAUAUUUCAAAUAUUUUCAGGUAUACAUUGAAUGAUACAUCAAAUAUUUUUAUAUUUCUAUUUUCUGCAUGUAUGUAUUUUUUGUGUUCCGUCUUUUGUAAAGUUAACUAAUUAUACAUGGUUAUGAUGAUUUUGGGUAUGGAAUGAUGAUUUUGGGUAUGAAAUGGAUUGUAUUGAUGAUUAUAAGUAUUAUAGACAUGUUUAGAUUUUUCUGAAUAUCUAUUUUUAAAGGAAACUCUACUGAAAUUUCUUGAAAUUAGUAGCGACUAGCUUGAUGUUUUAAUGAUUGGAUAUUUGUUGAUGAUUGAGUAUGUAUUAAUUUCUGCAUAUGUUCCAUCUUUUAUAAAGUUAACUAAUUAUACAUGGAUAUGAUGAUUUUGGGUAUGAAAUUAUGGUUGUUUUGGUGGUUUAGAUAUGUAUUGAUGAUUGUAAGUUUUAUAAACAGGUUUAGAUUUUUCUAAAUAUCUAUUUUUGAAGGAAACUCUGCCAAAAUUUCUUGAAAUUAGUAGCAACUAGCUUGAUAUUUUGGUGGUUGGAUAUGUGUUGAUGAUUAAGUAUGUAUUAAUUAUUGUGAUGGUAUGGUGAAUUAUGAUAAUUGUUAUGUCUGAUUGCAAAUUAUUUUAGGUUGCAAAGAUAUAAUAUUUUUCGAAUUUUAAUCUAAUUUUUCGUUACGCCGUGCCUUCAAGCACGGGCAAUUAAUAGUGGGAGAUAAAGAAGAUGGUUAUUGAUGUCGUAUAUUGCAAGUCUCUCAAAUAGUAAAGAGGAUCAUCCCCAAAAUCCUAAGAUAUUAAACUAGGGCAACCAAAGUUGGGAUCAGUAAAACUCAGACUAAAAGUUUGUUACGAUCUCACCUAGUAGGCUGAUAUAAGAUGUAGAAUUCACUCUUAACUUAUAAUUAUAUGAAUGCUCAAGGUUAAGGACAAGAUAAGUAUAUGCAGUUAUGGAUGGAAGAUAUAUA
rnacentral:lncRNA from 1 species